GUUAAUAAAACAUGGUACUUGCAAUGCCAGGGUUGUGGGUUCGAUUCCCAC
rnacentral:tRNA from 1 species